rnacentral:rRNA from 1 species
ACAUGCAAGUCGAACGAUGAUGCUGGUGCUUGCACUGGUGGAUUAGUGGCGAACGGGUGAGUAACACGUGAGUAACCUGCCCCUGACUUCGGGAUAAGCCCGGGAAACUGGGUCUAAUACCGGAUAUGACUUCCUGCUGCAUGGCAGGGGGUGGAAAGAUUUAUCGGUUGGGGAUGGACUCGCGGCCUAUCAGCUUGUUGGUGAGGUAAUGGCUCACCAAGGCGACGACGGGUAGCCGGCCUGAGAGGGUGACCGGCCACACUGGGACUGAGACACGGCCCAGACUCCUACGGGAGGCAGCAGUGGGGAAUAUUGCACAAUGGGCGAAAGCCUGAUGCAGCGACGCCGCGUGAGGGAUGACGGCCUUCGGGUUGUAAACCUCUUUCAGUAGGGAAGAAGCCCCUUUUGGGGGUGACGGUACUUGCAGAAGAAGCGCCGGCUAACUACGUGCCAGCAGCCGCGGUAAUACGUAGGGCGCAAGCGUUAUCCGGAAUUAUUGGGCGUAAAGAGCUCGUAGGCGGUUUGUCGCGUCUGCCGUGAAAGUCCGAGGCUCAACCUCGGAUCUGCGGUGGGUACGGGCAGACUAGAGUGAUGUAGGGGAGACUGGAAUUCCUGGUGUAGCGGUGAAAUGCGCAGAUAUCAGGAGGAACACCGAUGGCGAAGGCAGGUCUCUGGGCAUUUACUGACGCUGAGGAGCGAAAGCAUGGGGAGCGAACAGGAUUAGAUACCCUGGUAGUCCAUGCCGUAAACGUUGGGCACUAGGUGUGGGGGACAUUCCACGUUUUCCGCGCCGUAGCUAACGCAUUAAGUGCCCCGCCUGGGGAGUACGGCCGCAAGGCUAAAACUCAAAGGAAUUGACGGGGGCCCGCACAAGCGGCGGAGCAUGCGGAUUAAUUCGAUGCAACGCGAAGAACCUUACCAAGGCUUGACAUGUUCCAGACCGGGCCAGAGAUGGUCUUUCCCCUUUUGGGGCUGGUUCACAGGUGGUGCAUGGUUGUCGUCAGCUCGUGUCGUGAGAUGUUGGGUUAAGUCCCGCAAC